CGUCGGUUUGGUUUGAGUUCAGUUUGAUUUUAUUUUUGCUAAUACCAAAUCAAACCAAGAAUGAUCGUAUUUUUUUGCCAACAUCAAAUCAAUCAAAUCAAAUCAUAAUUCGAUUUAUCGAUUCGAUUUGACUUAACGGUUCAGUACACCCCUAGUCUCCACUGUUAUGCUCUGGUUGAGUUGAGAAAGCCUUUUUGUGUUGCUCACAUAAGAUGAGAACUUCUAUCAUUUAUAAUAUAAUUAAUUUAGCAACUUGCAUUUUUUUAAAAUUUUCCAUUCACUGUGCCAUCCCACUUAUCAUGAUAUGGACACUUGAUUAUUACAGUUGCUUUUGCGCGUAUGUUUUCACCAUCUUAGACGCUGAUGAUUGCUAACUGUGAGAGUAUUUUUUAUUUAGUGUUGCCACGCCGGAAUAGUAUAUUAUAGAUGGGCAUCGAUUCUUUCACCUUGCGUUGACAGAUGUGAAUGGAAUAACUUUGUGAAAACCAAAAAAAUGAGAAUCACUUUCACGGAAGUUCAAAGAAUUUUUACUUGUUUCAUUCCCAAUGACUUCAGCGGAAGAAAGCGAACCCUCAAAGCAAGUAAUCUAUAUAGCCUUUUAAACUUUAUAAUAUGUUAAACGUUGGAAGCGUCGAGGGAGAAGACAGUUGCAUAACAAAGUUGUAGGAAACAAUGAAGAUAAUUUUUUUUGUACCCUAUCAGACACCUAAUCCAUCUGAAAUUUGAUCCACAUAAAUGUUUUUUGCCCACAUGGCAUCUCGUGUAAUAAUCACUCAAAAUGGGUGUGUCAUCGUGAAAAAUCUUCCGAUGUGGCAAUAAGUUAAUGUUAAAAAACGUCAACUUUUCUCUCCCCUCACCCCCAUAUAAAAAAUCCUAAAUUCUUAGCCCCAAAUUUUCCAUUACCUUUCUUCUAUUUUUGCAUUUUAGAAAAAUGGUGAAUGUGGCUACUUUGCAUCAAAUUUUUGAGUGUUGUUGAGCUUAAUGAAUAGGUUUAAAGAUGGUGAAAAUUCAUGUGAUUGAUUGAAGGAGAAGCUCAAACAUGUUGAAGAAGAGAGGGACACUCUGUCUGAGAAAUUGAAUGAGAGUGAUGAGAAGUUGAUUGCAUUGAAACAAAAAUUCAAAUAAGUAAACUUGAGAGGGAAUCUGCAAAGUUUAAAUUUACUAAAAAUUACAUAUAUACACAAGGUAAAGUUACAUAAUUACAUUAAAUUUCAAAUUGGUAAAAUAUUUACACAAAUCUCAAAAUAAUUACAAAAAUCUCCUUAUUUGGUACUUUCUCUCUCCUAAAUAUUAUACAUGUAAAACACGGUUUUUGGCUUCUAUAUUUUGGUCUCUAUUGCUCCCAUUAUCCAUCUGAAUUUUACUCCAUUUUUGAAACCCAUCUUUUACGGCAAAAUUGAAGUAACGUCUACUUAGUGGUUAUCAAAUUACAAGUUAUCAAGCUUUAAUUGUUUUUAAUAAUUUACUUCAUUAAUUUUUUGAAUUUUUUUUUGUUCAACUUUACCAAUUCAGGUUUUUUUUUUCAUUUUUUUUUGCAUGUUGAAAUUACCGUAUUGUUCAAUCAUAUUCAAGUUCAGUAGUUUGAUUUUUUCGUUAUUUUUCAUAUAGUACAAGUUAGAUCUUUGAGUUUCUUGUUUUGUAGUUAGAUUUAACACUUCUGUUAAAUCAAUAUAGUGUUAAUUGGUAAUAGAUUAUCCUCCAAGUUUUAGUUUAGAAAUUACUCAGUUAGAUGCAAAAGAAAAAGAUAUUCCCCUUGGAUUUGUUCCUGUUACAUUUGAUGAACAGGAUCCGAAAUUCGCAGAGAAUCGGUCAAAGCACAGAAACGACUCUAUUACAAUAAAGAAGUUGAGGAAAAAGGCCGCUUCUAGAUCGAAGAAGUCUAGUUCAAAAACGGCAAGUAAAAAGAAGUUUGAUGAUUCCGACCGACCAUGUCUUCCGAAGGGCAUAAAAUACCGAAUUGACAAAGUCCCAGCACACCCAUUUCAUAUGGGGAACUUAUGUAAUCGGGCUUUUGGUGAAGAGAUAAAGGAAUAUUUUGGAGAGGAUGUUUUAGGUGCAUUUAGAAAUAUGAUUUUUGGGAUAUUUCUGGACUUACCACAGUGCUACUGGAUAGGAAAAAUUUCGAAAUGCCUCCCUAUGCUAGAAAUUCAGUAGGAUAAUAAGGAUGAGCUUUAUGUUUUUGUAUAAGGGGAAAUUCUCAAAUUUACAAUGCUUGAAUUUGCCAUUAUUACCGGUCUUAAGUGUACGAUAAUAUUGAUGAUUAUAUGUAUACUUCAUCAUCAAAAUCAGUGUUGAUGUCGAAGUAUUUUUCCGACAAUAAAGGAAGAAUAACUAGGUCAAAACUGAUAACACGUGUGAAGAUGAAAAACUUCAAUAACUCUGAAGAUGCUCUGAACCCGACAAUAUUGUUCUUUGUUCAUACAUUCAUGUUUUCUCAGCAUAAGGAAGCAGCAAUCAGUUUAUCUCACUUUCAGAUAGUCGAGGACGAUCGGUACAUUCACUUUCCAUAGGGGAAGAUUACAUUUGAAAAGUUGAUGAGUUCCUGGAGGCAGAAUUUCAAUAUCGUAAAGCAGUUACAUUCAUUGGGUGGAAUUCUGCACACUCUAAAUGUUUGGAUGCUCGAGCGCUGCUUCGAGGUAGAAUAAAAAAUUGAUGUCCGUCAGAGAAAUGUAAUCCCAAGAAUACUAAACUGGUCUGUGGAGUGUACAAGGCCUAAGUACGAAUUUUUUAUGUCUGGCAUGUUCAGUAAGCAUUCGUACAAGAAUAUACAACCUACAAUCGAAGAAGUUCGUAGGUUGAAUUUGCCUUUUUCUCAAGAUUUUGAGACAUUUGAUCCAACAACUUCUGCUUCAACAUUCGUUGCUAGAACGUUGAAAAGGCCAGCAGAUAAAUUUCAACAGCGUGUCGGUACCAUUGCUGAAGAAUUUGGUGAUUUCAACAUUAUACCACCGCUGAAAAUCCUCAUAAAGGCUGGUUUACCUUCGCCUGUAUCACUUGAAACCUUUCAAGAGAAGAAAGACUGUGAUGUUUCAGUAAGAUAGUCUAGCGGUGAUGGAUGAUGAUAUAUCUACACGUGAUUGUCCAGUACAUUAUGUGUAUGAUUUAUAUUUUGAAAUGCAAAAGAAUGCAGUAGACAAAAAAAAAAUUGGUGUGUCUGAAUUUGAACAUCACCAACAAGGAGAAAUUGGUGUGUCUCCUGAGCGUCACCAACAUAAUUUGCUGAAAAGAUGGUUGAGCUGGUUACACUAAUAUAAAAAAUACCUGCUGAGGUCGUCAAAACAUUGAAGAAUAAAGAAAAUAAGCAAUCAGAGGAGGAGAAAAUUACUGAUCAACAACAAAGUCAAGAAGAAGGAUCGAAGAAACAUGAGAGUCCAUAUAAGGAGGAUAUGCAACAUGAAGAUUAUGAUAAGGGAUCAGUCAACGAUAUAGAAAAGUCUCGUGAUGAAGAAUUUAAUAAGAAGCACAUUCUUGAUGUGCAAGAGUUGCUGAAUGUGAAUGCGUUCGAUAAAGAGGAAGGUCGUGAUGAUGAUUUUAAAAAAGAGCAUUGUUCUGAUUUGAAAGCUUUGGAGGAUGUGAAUGUUACCGCUAAAGAAGAUGGUCAUGAAAUGGAUUUGAAAAAAUAGCACUAUACUGAUAUGGAAGAUGUGCAGGAUAAAGUUGGUGGGAUGAUAACCGAUUCAAUUCAGGCCGCUGUAGAUACAAUUUUAUUUGAUUUUUCAACACCUUCGACUACAAAGUCAUUGGAUGUUGCUACUUCAAAUAAAAUGACCAAAAGCCAAUGGGAUCUUUCGGACAGUCAAAUUUCACCUGAUUUCCCUGAUGCUUAGGUUCGGGAGCUUGAAGCCACAAAAACAAAAGCACCUGCCAAAAGGGAAAGAAAGAAGUUCAGAAUUUUAAGGUCACCGUACAUUGCAUCUAAGGAUGCGGGCAACUCUGAUAAAGAGGAGAAAUUGAAGUAUGCUUUUGAUGGUUACACCAUUAAUCAAGAUUUGACAAAUGAAUUAAUGAUUGAUUACUCACAGUGAAUUGCCGUAGGAUUACUAAAAACUCAUUCUGCCAAGCAAGAAAUUUUUUUUUUUUCUAACAAUACUAAGGCAACAAAAAUAUUUGUGAUGUGCAAUCAAUGUUGAUUUUCAGGAAAGAAACAGACAAUCACAAUUGAGUAAAUGCUUCGGGAUUAGGUUACCCUCAAUAGGACUUUGUCGUUGCACAACCAUAGUCCAAGAAUUAAUUUUACUUGAUGUUCGAACGUAAGACAUGCUGGAACGAUUAGGUAAAUUAAUCUAAAUAUGAUUCAUAUCAUAAGUGUUUUUGCUGAUAGUUAAUUUACUGCAAUAUCAUAUCAUAAAUCUAACAACCUUCUAUUACUUUUACAAUAUGCUCUAAAUAUUUUUGAAGUCUAAUUUUGAAAUGUAAUCUGAAAUAUUAAUAUUGUAGGUUCAAUGUUGUAUUACAUUUUGUACAUUGUAGCAUAUUGUACUAACUCGGCCUAAUAAAGUCAACAUGUUUAUCAUACAUGUAAACCUAUGUAUAGUAUGAUAUCAUACAUGCAGUAUUUUUAUUAUCAGAUAUCCAACUUUAAUCAACAUGUCUUGUAGAAUACCAUGUAACACCAGUUAUUGUUAGAAAUAUCAUAUCAACACCAUAUCAUCUAUGUUUUAAUUAUGGAUAAAUUAAUUUUUUAUUACAUCCAACCCUAGAAUAUAAAAUUUUACAAAUGUAAGGAUGUAUAACUGUAUAUCAUACAUGCAGUGUCAGUCCCCCAUACUGUACUGCCCUUGACUAACAUGAAACAACCUACAAUGAAGCUAGUGAUUUCUUUCAAUGAUUUUUCUUUUGUUACCCUAUUUUCACGUGUAGCAUUUAGAUGUGAUCUUCUACCACUUGAGAAAGAAAUCGAAGCUUUAGCUGCGUGAUAGUUAUAGAUAUACAACGACUGGCCAUUUUUUUAAAACAUAUGUCGAAAAGACACAUAGUCGAUAUUAUUCAACAGAAUCGGCAGUUGAGCUGUCCACACAAUAAGACUAUGAAGAAUCAUUUGUGGUGGCUAAGAAUGAAGAUACUAUUGCAAAUAUAAUUUAAGGAUUUUGUAUUUCUGCUGGGUUACCAUGACACAUGGUUGAUGAGGUAUAUGUUUCAGUUAACUGUGACAAAGAAUUUCACUGGGUAUUAGCUGUGAUUGUCUUGAAGGAAAUAUUGAUACGUGUGUAUGACUCAUUGACAAGUAAAAAAAAAAGGAACCACCAAUCAAAAUACAAAAGCUUGCAGUGAUGCUGCCUACUUACUUGUCAGACAAUAUUCUUUUGAAAAGACUGAGCGAAUGAAUGGUCAACACUUGAAGCGUACAAGGGGAAGCUUGCUCAACAUACUGGUCUUGUCAAUGAAAUUCCAUUUGAUAUUGACUAUGUUCAAAACAUCCCACAACAAGCGUCUGAUAGUUUUCAGGGACUAUGGUGUCUUUGUGUCUGCCUAUGCAGAAAGAUUAAGUGAAGGGUAGCAAGUGCAUUCAUGUGGGUUUGAUGAUGAAAGUCAACGUGCAUGCUAUGCUUCAUUACUGUGGCAUUACAGAGUAGAAAAGGCAAAUGAAGGGUACACGAGUGAUAAUGGUGAUCCUCCUCAGCCAAGGAAUAGUGUUCUCCAAGAAAUUAAUGAAAGUGCAAUUGUUACUUUAGAGUAGCAUUGUUUUAUAAUAGCCGGCACUGAAACAACUAAUUCUUAGUUUUGUGGUUGAUGUUAAACAAUUUCAAGAUUACUUUCUGGAUGUUAAUGCACAUUUUAUAAAUGUCUUCAUAUUUUGAUAAAAUGCUUUGCAGUUACUAA